UUUCUGCCUCAAUGAUCUGUCUAAUGCUGUCAGUGGAAUGUUGAAGACUCCCACUCUUAUUGUGUGGUUAUCUAAGUCUUUUUGUAGUCCAAGAAGAAUUGUUUCAUGAAUUGGGGUGCUCCAAUGUUGGAUCCACCAGGAAAACAGAGGAGUCUAUCUAGUGGGGGCACUUCUUCAUCUCCUCCUGCUGAGUGUGAGCAUACACUUGUGAAGAUGUGCAAGCCAGCCUUUCAUGCAUUUAUCUCCCUCCAUUUCAGACAACCAAUGUUUUAGUUGUCUGUUCCAAUUUUCUAUCAAACUAUUAUUCUGAGGAGGAGAUCUCUCUGCCCAUUGUUGGACAUUAUAGGCUAUAUUGCGUAUUUCUUGGCCUGAAGAAAUGUGAAUCUGCCAUCCAAAUUGGUGCAAUAUCUUCUAUUCCACUUCUUUUAUGGCAUUCUGAGUAUUUGCAUCUUCCACCAGCGUAAAAAUCCAUACUUCGGGAUUCGAUGAACUCUUGGAAAGCAUUUUCUGCAUCCUGCUGUUUGUGGAAGCAUUUUCUCCGCAAAAAGUUGUCAAGAUCCUUGAAGAAAUGGUAGACAAUUGGCUAGAGGUCAGCUCAUUAAGAACCCACUUAUUGAGGUUUUUCACCUUUCCAAUUUGCAUCAAACGCCGAACGAUCAUAGAAUGGUCAAGUUGAGUUCUUCAGCAACUUCUCCCGUAGCUGUAAGAGGAUCAGCUUCGAUGAUUGUUCUCAAUUGGUCAGUGUUAACUUCUGAUGGCUGGUCACUACACUCCUGGUCUUCAAGGUUCAUGUCUCCUUUGCAAAACUUCUUGAACCACCACUGCACCGUAUGUUCAUUAGCAGUUCCUGGGCCAAAUGUGUUGUUGAUGUUGUGAGUUGUCUCCACUGCUUUACAACCCAUUUUCAACUAAAAAAAAAUCAUUCAAAUUUGCUUUUUGUCUAACAUUAUUUCCAUAGCCUAAAAUAAAUAUGAA
rnacentral:lncRNA from 1 species